rnacentral:rRNA from 2 species
UACCAGCACCCCGAGUGGUCGGGACGAUUAUUGGGCCUAAAGCAUCCGUAGCCGGUUUUACAAGUCCUCCGUUAAAUCCAACUGCUUAACAGAUGGGCUGCGGAGGAUACUAUAAGACUAGGAGGCAGGAGAGGCAAGCGGUACUCAGUGGGUAGGGGUAAAAUCCGUUGAUCCAUUGAAGACCACCAGUGGCGAAGGCGGCUUGCCAGAAUGCGCUCGACGGUGAGGGAUGAAAGCUGGGGGAGCAAACCGG